rnacentral:sRNA from 1 species
AGUGCGAGAUCCGCUGCUGCUGAGGAGAGGAGCGUCAACAGCAGCACCAUGGUAGCUGUGAGUAUACUACAUAAUUUAUAGAGAUUUUUUUCAGUCUCAGUUAACUUAAAUUUAAUUUACAGUUGGAUGAAAUAUGAGCCAAGGAAACCUUAGGUUUAAUGGAUAUUUCUAACUCCACUCAUAGCAGACUUUCAAAUAUUUGACUUAAAAAUGUUAGAUUCUGAUUAGUCUCCUAAUUAUUAUGUUUAUAGUUAGCUUUUCAUUUUAAUGGGCUUCGUUUUUAAAAUUUGGCUUAAGAAUUAGUUUUAUGAAAUGAACAAAAGAGCCAAAGAUUAUGGAUGGAAUAUUUAGCUACAUGACUAGUAAACAUUGUAGACUUCUGUUCUUUGUUAAAUCCAAAUGUAUUGAAUUGAUGUUUUGAUCCCGUGAUUGCUUUUUAAAUGAGAAUUUAAAUGUGGCAGAAACUUUUAAGAGAAUGUGUGCCUCUUUUUGCUAUUUUUUAAUGUUGAGAUAAGACUACCUCCAAAGUAAAAUUAACCAAUGAGACUCUGCUUAUUCAAAUAGUCUUAACUACGGACAGCGUUUCUCACCCAUGGCAACAGAAGAACCUUGAAGGCUAUGUGGGAUUUGCCAAUCUCCCAAAU